CCGAAGGUCGGGGUCCCAAGACCCCCCAGCAGAAAAAUGGCCAAAAAACGGGUGGGCUAUAGCCUUGGUGGGGGGAGUGGGCGAAGUUCGUCCGCGGGACUCGCAAUGGCACCAUACUUGGCGGGCGACCUCCGUGUGCCAAAAAUAGGCCACGGGCGCAGCCGCGCCCAAAAAUCAGCCCCCGAAGGUCGGGGUCCCAAGACCCCCCAGCGGAAAAAUGGCCAAAAAACGGUUGGGCUAUAGCCUUGGUGGGGGGCGUGGGCGAAGUUCGUCCGCGGGACUCGAAAUGGCACCAGACUUGGCGGGCGGCCUCCGUGUGCAAAAAAAUAGGCCACGGGCACAGCCGCGCCCAAAAAUCAGCCCCCAAAGGUCGGGGUCCCAAGACCCCCCAGCGGAAAAAUAACCAAAAAACGGGUGGGCUAUAGCCUUGGUGGGCGGCGUGGGCGAAGUUCGGGCGCGGGACUCAGAAUGGCCCCAGACUUGGCGGGCGGCCUCCGUGUGCAAAAAAUAGGCCAUGGGCACAGCCGCGCCCAAAAAUCAGCCCCCGAAGGUCGGGGUCCCAAGACCCCCCAGCGGAAAAUUGGCCAAAAAACGGGUGGGCUAUAGCCUUGGUGGGGGGCGUGGGCGAAGUUCGUCCGCCGGACUCGGAAUGGCACCAUACUUGGCGGGCGGCCUCCGUGUGCCAAAAACAGGCCACGGGCGCAGCCGCACCCAAAAAUCAGCCCCCGAAGGUCGGGGUCCCAAGACCCCCCAGCAGAAAAAUGGCCAAAAAACGGGUGGGCUAUAGCCUUGGUGGGGGGCGUGGGCGAAGUUCGUCCGCGGGACUCGGAAUGGCACAGACUUGGAGGGCGGCCUCCGUGUGCCAAAAAUAGGCCACGGGCACAGCCGCGCCCAAAAUCAGCCACCGAAGGUCGGGGUCCCAAGACCCCCCAGCGGAAAAAUGGCCAAAAAAUGGGUGGGCUAUAGCCUUGGUGGGGGGCGUGGGCGAAGUUUGUCCGCCGGACUCGGAAUGGCCCCAGACUUGGCGGGCGGCCUCCCUGUGCCAAAAAUAGGCCACGGGCACAGCCGCGCCCAAAAAUCAGCCCCCGAAGGUCAGGGUCCCAAGACCCCCCAGCGGAAAAUUGGCCAAAAAACGGGUGGGCUAUAGCCUUGGUUGGGGGCGUGGGCGAAGUUCGUCCGCCGGACUCGGAAUGGCACCAGACUUGGCGGGCGGCCACCGUGUGCCAAAAAUAGGCCACGGGCAUAGCCGCGCCCAAAAAUCAGCCCCCGAAGGUCGGGGUCCAAAGACCCCGCAGCGGAAAAAUGGCCAAAAAACGGGUGGGCUAUAGCCUUGGUGGGGGGCGUGGGCGAACUUCGUCCGCGGGACUCGGAAUGGUACCAUACCUGGCGGGUGGCCUCCGUGUGCCAAAAACAGGCCACGGGCACAGCUCCGCCGAAAAAUCAGCCCCCGAAGGUUGGGGUCCCAAGACCCCCCGGCGUAAAAAUGGCCAAAAAAACGGUGGGCUAUAGCCUUGGUGGGGGGCGUGGGCGAAGUUCGUCCGCGGGACUCGGAAUGGCCCCAGACUUGGCGAGCGGCCUCCGUGUGCCAAAAAUAGGCCACGGGCACAACCGCGCCCAAAAAUCAGCCCCCGAAGGUCGGGGUCCCAAGACCCCCCAGCGGAAAAAUUGCCAAAAAACGGGUGGGCUAUAGCCUUGGUGGGGGGCGUGGGCGAACUUCGUCCGCGGGACUCGGAAUGGUACCAUACCUGGCGGGUGGCCUCCGUGUGCCAAAAACAGGCCACGGGCACAGCUCCGCCGAAAAAUCAGCCCCCGAAGGUUGGGGUCCCAAGACCCCCCGGCGUAAAAAUGGCCAAAAAAACGGUGGGCUAUAGCCUUGGUGGGGGGCGUGGACGAAGUUCGUCCGCGGGACUCGGAAUGGCCCCAGACUUGGCGGGCGGCCUCCGUGUGCCAAAAAUAGGCCACGGGCACAGCCGCGCCCAAAAAUCAGCCCCCGAAGGUCGGGGUCCCAAGACCCCCCAGCGGAAAAAUGGCCAAAAAACGGGUGGGCUAUAGCCUUGGUGGGGGGAGUGGGCGAAGUUCGUCCGCGGGACUCGCAAUGGCACCAUACUUGGCGGGCGACCUCCGUGUGCCAAAAAUAGGCCACGGGCGCAGCCGCGCCCAAAAAUCAGCCGCCGAAGGUCGGGGUCCCAAGACCCCCCAGCGGAAAAAUGGCCAAAAACCGGGUGGGCUAUAGCCUUGGUGGGAGGCGUGGGCGAAGUUCAUCCGUGGUACUCGGAAUGGCACCAGACUUGGCGGGCGGCCUCCGUGUGCCAAAAAUAGGCCACGGGCACGGCCGCGCCCAAAAAUCAGCCCCCGAAGGUCGGGGUCCCAAGACCCCCCAGCGGAAAAAUAUCCAAAAAACGGGUGGGCUAUAGCCUUGGUGGGCGGCGUGGGCGAAGUUCGUCCGCGGGACUCAGAAUGGCCCCAGACUUGGCGGGCGGCCCCCGUGUGCCAAAAAUAGGCCACGGGCACAGCCGCGCCCAAAAAUCAGCCCCCGAAGGUCGGGGUCCCAAGACCCCCCAGCGGAAAAAUGGCCAAAAAAAGGGUGGGCUAUAGCCUUGGUGGGGGGCGUGGGCGAAGUUCGUCCGCGGGACUCGGAAUGGCACCAUACUUGGCGGGCGGCCUCCGUGUGCCAAAAACAGGCCACGGGCGCAGCCGCGUCCAAAAAUCAGCCCCCGAAGGUCGGGGUCCCAAGACCCCCCAGCGGAAAAAUGGCCAAAAAACGGGUGGGCUAUAGCCUUGGUGGGGGGCGUGGGCGAACUUCGUCCGCGGGACUCGGAAUGGUACCAUACCUGGCGGGUGGCCUCCGUGUGCCAAAAACAGGCCACGGGCACAGCUCCGCCGAAAAAUCAGCCCCCGAAGGUUGGGGUCCCAAGACCCCCCGGCGUAAAAAUGGCCAAAAAAACGGUGGGCUAUAGCCUUGGUGGGGGGCGUGGACGAAGUUCGUCCGCGGGACUCGGAAUGGCCCCAGACUUGGCGGGCGGCCUCCGUGUGCCAAAAAUAGGCCACGGGCACAGCCGCGCCCAAAAAUCAGCCCCCGAAGGUCGGGGUCCCAAGACCCCCCAGCGGAAAAAUGGCCAAAAAACGGGUGGGCUAUAGCCUUGGUGGGGGGAGUGGGCGAAGUUCGUCCGCGGGACUCGCAAUGGCACCAUACUUGGCGGGCGACCUCCGUGUGCCAAAAAUAGGCCACGGGCGCCGCCGCGCCCAAAAAUCAGCCGCCGAAGGUCGGGGUCCCAAGACCCCCCAGCGGAAAAAUGGCCAAAAACCGGGUGGGCUAUAGCCUUGGUGGGAGGCGUGGGCGAAGUUCGUCCGUGGUACUCGGAAUGGCACCAGACUUGGCGGGCGGCCUCCGUGUGCCAAAAAUAGGCCACGGGCACGGCCGCGCCCAAAAAUCAGCCCCCGAAGGUCGGGGUCCCAAGACCCCCCAGCGGAAAAAUAUCCAAAAAACGGGUGGGCUAUAGCCUUGGUGGGCGGCGUGGGCGAAGUUCGUCCGCGGGACUCAGAAUGGCCCCAGACUUGGCGGGCGGCCCCCGUGUGCCAAAAAUAGGCCACGGGCACAGCCGCGCCCAAAAAUCAGCCCCCGAAGGUCGGGGUCCCAAGACCCCCCAGCGGAAAAAUGGCCAAAAAAAGGGUGGGCUAUAGCCUUGGUGGGGGGCGUGGGCGAAGUUCGUCCGCGGGACUCGGAAUGGCACCAUACUUGGCGGGCGGCCUCCGUGUGCCAAAAACAGGCCACGGGCGCAGCCGCGCCCAAAAAUCAGCCCCCGAAGGUCGGGGUCCCAAGACCCCCCAGCGGAAAAAUGGCCAAAAAACGGGUGGGCUAUAGCCUUGGUGGGGGGCGUGGGCGAAGUUCGUCCGCCGGACUCGGAAUGGCACCAUACUUGGCGGGCGGCCUCCGUGUGCCAAAAAUAGGCCACGGGUGCAGCCGCGCCCAAAAAUCAGCCCCCGAAGGUCGGGGUCCCAAGAGCCCCCGAAGGUCGGGGUCCCAGGAGCCCCCAGCGGAAAAUUGGCCAAAAAACGGGUGGGCUAUAGCCUUGGUGGGGGGCGUGGGCGAAGUUCGUCCGCGGGACUCAGAAUGGCCCCAGACUUGGCGGGCGGCCCCCGUGUGCCAAAAAUAGGCCACGGGCACAGCCGCGCCCAAAAAUCAGCCCCCGAAGGUCGGGGUCCCAAGACCCCCCAGCGGAAAAAUGGCCAAAAAACGUGUGGGCUAUAGCCUUGGUGGGGGUCGUGGGCGAAGUUCGUCCGCGGGACUCGGAAUGGCCCCAGACUUGGCGGGCGGCCUCCCUGUCCUAAAAAUAGGCCACGGGCACAGCCGCGCCCAAAAAUCAGCCCCCGAAGGUCGGGGUCCCAAGACCCCCCAGCGGAAAAAUAACCAAAAAACGGGUGGGCUAUAGCCUUGGUGGGCGGCGUGGGCGAAGUUCGGGCGCGGGACUCAGAAUGGCCCCAGACUUGGCGGGCGGCCUCCGUGUGCAAAAAAUAGGCCACGGGCACAGCCGCGCCCAAAAAUCAGCCCCCGAAGGUCGGGGUCCCAAGACCCCCCAGCGGAAAAUUGGCCAAAAAACGGGUGGGCUAUAGCCUUGGUGGGGGGCGUGGGCGAAGUUCGUCCGCCGGACUCGGAAUGGCACCAUACUUGGCGGGCGGCCUCCGUGUGCCAAAAACAGGCCACGGGCGCAGCCGCACCCAAAAAUCAGCCCCCGAAGGUCGGGGUCCCAAGACCCCCCAGCAGAAAAAUGGCCAAAAAACGGGUGGGCUAUAGCCUUGGUGGGGGGAGUGGGCGAAGUUCGUCCGCGGGACUCGCAAUGGCACCAUACUGGGCGGACGACUUCCGUGUGCCAAAAUAGGCCACGGGCGCAGCCGCGCCCAAAAAUCAGCCCCCGAAGGUCGAGGUCCCAAGACCCCCCAGCGGAAAAAUGGCCAAAAAACGGGUGGGCUAUAGCCUUGGUGGGGGGCGUGGGCGAAGUUCGUCCGCGGGACUCGAAAUGGCACCAGACUUGGCGGGCGGCCUCCGUGUGCCAAAAAUAGGCCACGGGCACAGCCGCGCCCAAAAAUCAGCCCCCGAAGGUCGGGGUCCCAAGACCCCCCAGCGGAAAAAUAACCAAAAACCGGGUGGGCUAUAGCCUUGGUGGGCGGCGUGGGCGAAGUUCAGGCGCGGGACUCAGAAUGGCCCCAGACUUGGCGGGCGGCCUCCGUGUGCAAAAAAUAGGCCACGGGCACAGCCGCGCCCAGAAAUCAGCCCCCGAAGGUCGGGGUCCCAAGACCCCCCAGCAGAAAAAUGGCCAAAAAACGGGUGGGCUAUAGCCUUGGUGGGGGGAGUGGGCGAAGUUCGUCCGCGGGACUCGCAAUGGCACCAUACUUGGCGGACGACCUCCGUGUGCCAAAAAUAGGCCACGGGCGCAGCCGCGCCCAAAAAUCAGCCCCCGAAGGUCGGGGUCCCAAGACCCCCCAGCGGAAAAAUGGCCAAAAAACGGGUGGGCUAUAGCCUUGGUGGGGGGCGUGGGCGAAGUUCGUCCGCGGGACUCAGAAUGGCCCCAGACUUGGCGGGCGGCCUCCGUGUGCAAAAAAUAGGCCACGGGCACAGCCGCGCCCAAAAAUCAGCCCCCGAAGGUCGGGGUCCCAAGACCCCCCAGCGGAAAAUUGGCCAAAAAACGGAAGGGGUAUAGCCUUGGUGGGGGGCGGGGCGAAGUUCGUCCGCCGGACU
rnacentral:lncRNA from 1 species